rnacentral:rRNA from 1 species
UCUUCGGAUCUAGUGGCAGACGGGUGCGUAACGCGUGGGAACCUGCCCUUUAGUAAGGAAUAACUCAGGGAAACUUGUGCUAAUACCUUAUAAUCCCUUCGGGGGAAAGCUUUAUGCGCUAAUGGAUGGGCCCGCGUUAGAUUAGCUUGUUGGUGAGGUAAUGGCUCACCAAGGCGACGAUCUAUAGCUGGUCUGAGAGGAUGAUCAGCCACACUGGGACUGAGACACGGCCCAGACUCCUACGGGAGGCAGCAGUGGGGAAUAUUGGACAAUGGGGGCAACCCUGAUCCAGCGAUGCCGCGUGAGUGAUGAAGGCCUUAGGGUUGUAAAACUCUUUCGCUAGGGAAGAUAAUGACGGUACCUAGUAAAGAAGAUCCGGCUAACUCCGUGCCAGCAGCCGCGGUAAUACGGAGGGAUCUAGCGUUAUUCGGAAUAACUGGGCGUAAAGCGAGCGUAGGCGGAUUUGUAAGUUGGAGGUGAAAUCCCAGGGCUUAACCCUGGAACUGCCUUCAAAACUACAUUUCUUGAGUUUGGUAGAGGAGAGUGGAAUUCCUAGUGUAGAGGUGAAAUUCGUAGAUAUUA